rnacentral:rRNA from 1 species
CGUAAAGAGCUCGUAGGUGGUUUGUCGCGUUGUUCGUGAAAACUCACAGCUUAACUGUGGGCGUGCGGGCGAUACGGGCAGACUAGAGUACUGCAGGGGAGACUGGAAUUCCUGGUGUAGCGGUGGAAUGCGCAGAUAUCAGGAGGAACACCGGUGGCGAAGGCGGGUCUCUGGGCAGUAACUGACGCUGAGGAGCGAAAGCGUGGGGAGCGAACAGGAUUAGAUACCCUGGUAGUCCACGCCGUAAACGGUGGGUACUAGGUGUGGGUUCCUUCCUUGGGAUCCGUGCCGUAGCUAACGCAUUAAGUACCCCGCCUGGGGAGUACGGCCGCAAGGCUAGAACUCAAAGGAAUUGACGGGGGCCCGCACAAGCGGCGGAGCAUGUGGAUUAGUUCGAUGCAACGCGGAGAACCUUACCUGGGUUUGACAUGCACAGGACGCUGGUAGAGAUAUCAGUUCCCUUGUGGCCUGUGUGCAGGUGGUCGAUGGCUGUCGUCAGCUCGUGUCGUGAGAUGUUGGGUUAAGUCCCGCAACGAGCGCAACCCCUAUCUUAUGUUGCCAGCGCGUUAUGGCGGGGACUCGUAAGAGACUGCCGGGGUCAACUCGGAGGAAGGUGGGGAUGACGUCAAGUCAUCAUGCCCCUUAUGUCCAGGGCUUCACACAUGCUACAAUGGCCGGUACAAAGGGCUGCGAAUCCGCGAGGUGGAGCGAAUCCCUUGAAAGCCGGUCUCAGUUCGGAUCGGGGUCUGCAACUCGACCCCGUGAAGUUGGAGUCGCUA